GGAGGGAGCUAAAUGCAGUCGAGCGGUACAAAGGGAGCUUGCUCUCUGGGUGACGAGCGGCGGACGGGUGAGUAAUGUCUGGGAAACUGCCUGAUGGAGGGGGAUAACUACUGGAAACGGUAGCUAAUACCGCAUAACGUCGCAAGACCAAAGAGGGGGACCUUCGGGCCUCUUGCCAUCAGAUGUGCCCAGAUGGGAUUAGCUAGUAGGUGGGGUAAUGGCUCACCUAGGCGACGAUCCCUAGCUGGUCUGAGAGGAUGACCAGCCACACUGGAACUGAGACACGGUCCAGACUCCUACGGGAGGCAGCAGUGGGGAAUAUUGCACAAUGGGCGCAAGCCUGAUGCAGCCAUGCCGCGUGUGUGAAGAAGGCCUUCGGGUUGUAAAGCACUUUCAGCGAGGAGGAAGGUGGUGAACUUAAUACGUUCAUCAAUUGACGUUACUCGCAGAAGAAGCACCGGCUAACUCCGUGCCAGCAGCCGCGGUAAUACGGAGGGUGCAAGCGUUAAUCGGAAUUACUGGGCGUAAAGCGCACGCAGGCGGUUUGUUAAGUCAGAUGUGAAAUCCCCGGGCUCAACCUGGGAACUGCAUUUGAAACUGGCAAGCUAGAGUCUCGUAGAGGGGGGUAGAAUUCCAGGUGUAGCGGUGAAAUGCGUAGAGAUCUGGAGGAAUACCGGUGGCGAAGGCGGCCCCCUGGACGAAGACUGACGCUCAGGUGCGAAAGCGUGGGGAGCAAACAGGAAUAGAUACCCUGGUAGUCCACGCUGUNAACGAUGUCGAUUUGGAAGGUGUGCCCUUUGAGCGUGGCUUCCGGAGCUAACGCGUUUAAUCGACCGCCUGGGGAGUACGGCCGCAAGGUUAAAACUCAAAUGAAUUGACGGGGGCCCGCACAAGCGGUGGAGCAUGUGGUUUAAUUCGAUGCAACGCGAAGAACCUUACCUACUCUUGACAUCCAGAGAACUUUCCAGAGAUGGAUUGGUGCCUUCGGGAACUCUGAGACAGGUGCUGCAUGGCUGUCGUCAGCUCGUGUUGUGAAAUGUUGGGUUAAGUCCCGCAACGAGCGCAACCCUUAUCCUUUGUUGCCAGCGGUUCGGCCGGGAACUCAAAGGAGACUGCCAGUGAUAAACUGGAGGAAGGUGGGGAUGACGUCAAGUCAUCAUGGCCCUUACGAGUAGGGCUACACACGUGCUACAAUGGCAUAUACAAAGAGAAGCGACCUCGCGAGAGCAAGCGGACCUCAUAAAGUAUGUCGUAGUCCGGAUUGGAGUCUGCAACUCGACUCCAUGAAGUCGGAAUCGCUAGUAAUCGUAGAUCAGAAUGCUACGGUGAAUACGUUCCCGGGCCUUGUACACACACGCCCGUCACACCAUGGGAGUGGGUUGCAAAAGAAGUAGGUAGCUUAACCUUCGGGAGGGCGCUUACCACUUUGGAUUCAUGCCGGGGGAAGUCGAUCAAGACUCAGCCC
rnacentral:rRNA from 1 species